rnacentral:rRNA from 1 species
UACGGAGGGGGCUAGCGUUGUUCGGAAUUACUGGGCGUAAAGAGCGCGCAGGCGGUCGGAUAAGUCGAAUGUGAAAGCCCCCGGCUCAACUGGGGAGGGUCAUUCGAUACUGUUCGACUCGAAGGCAGGAGAGGGAAGUGGAAUUCCCGGUGUAGUGGUGAAAUGCGUAGAUAUCGGGAGGAACACCAGUGGCGAAGGCGACUUCCUGGCCUGUUCUUGACGCUGAGGCGCGAAAGCUAGGGGAGCAAACGGGG